rnacentral:rRNA from 1 species
UACGUAGGGGGCGAGCGUUGUCCGGAUUUAUUGGGCGUAAAAGGCUUGUAGGUGGCCACGUCAAGUCGGAUGUGAAAUCUCCCGGCUCAACUGGGAGGGGUCAUUCGAUACUGGCGGGCUCGAGUAUGGAAGAGGGUCGCGGAAUUCCCGGUGUAGCGGUGAAAUGCGCAGAUAUCAGGAGGAACACCGAUUGCGAAGGCAGCUCGCUGGGACGUUACUGACGCUGAGACGCGAAAGCGUGGGGAGCAAACAGG